rnacentral:rRNA from 1 species
AUGCUCUUCCUUCUGCAAGGCAACCAGAUAAGAGGCUCAAUCCCACUAGGUCUAGGAAAUCUCACAAAAUUGCAUUCCUUAAUGCUUCACGAAAAUGAACUCUCCGGUGAAAUACUAAGUCAGAUAGGCAACUUGAGUAGUCUUGUCACCCUCAACUUGUCAAACAAUCACUUGGUUGGUCAUAUCCCUUGUGAGAUAGGACACAUGAAGCACUUAGUUGCAUUAGAUUUGUCCAGUAAUGAUCUUUUUGGUAAAAUACCAAGCAGCAUAGGUGGUUUGACCGAACUCACUAGCUUGUACCUUUACGGUAACCAACUUUCUAGACAAAUUCCACGAGAACUAGGUUAUCUUCUGAACUUAAAGGACCUGCAACUUGGCAUCAACACACUGUCGGGUUCCAUUCCACGAAAUUUACAUAAUUUGACCAAUCUCACUGUGUUAAUUCUAGCGAGAAACAAACUUUCCGGGUUAAUUCCACAAAAAAUAGAUUACCUUUCGAACUUAGAGUACCUGGAUCUUGGUGACAACAUACUCUCAGGUUCCAUCCCAAAUAGCAUAGAAAAUUUGACCAAACUCACCGCGUUGUACAUUUUCAUCAACCAACUUUCUGGACACAUCCCUCGAGAACUAGGUCGCCUUGUGAACUUAGUGAAUCUGGAUCUUGGCACUAACACCCUAACUGGUUCCAUUCCAAAUAGCAUAGGAAAUUUGACCAAACUCACAGCGUUGUACAUUUUCAUCAACCAACUUUCUGGACACAUCCCUCGAGAACUAGGUCGCCUUGUGAACUUAGUGAAUCUGGAUCUUGGCACUAACGCCCUAACUGGUUCCAUCCCAAAUAGCAUAGGAAAUUUGACCAAACUCACAGCGUUGUACAUUUUCAUCAACCAACUUUCUGGACACAUCCCUCGAGAACUAGGUUGCCUUGUGAACUUAGAGCAGUUGAUGCUUAGCAACAACACGCUAACUGGUUCCAUCCCAAAUAGCAUAGGAAAUUUGACCAAACUCACAUCCUUAUACCUUGACAACAACCUACUUUCUAGACACAUCCCUCGAGAACUAGGUCGCCUUGAGAACUUAGAGCAGUUGAUGCUUAGCAACAACACACUAACAGGUUUCAUCCCAAAUAACAUAGGAAAUUUGACGAAACUCAUAUUUUUGUACCUUGACAAUAACCAACUUUCUAGCCAAAUUCCACGAGAACUAGGUUAUUUAGUCAACUUAGACUCCUUGGGGCUUAGCUAUAACACACUGACAGACUUCAUCCCAAACAACCUAGGCAAUCUCACAGAACUCGCUAGCUUGUACCUUGACAAUAACCAACUUUCCGGCCACAUUCCCCAAGAAUUAGGUUAUUUGGCCAACUUAGAGUGGUUGUCUCUUAGAAAUAAUGCACUAACAGGUCCCAUCCCAAAUAGCCUUGGCAAUCUGACAGAACUCAAAAGGUUGUACUUUGGCUAG